rnacentral:rRNA from 1 species
UUCAGACUNAAGAAGGCGUAAGAUAUGGCUGUGCCUUCGGGAACUUUGAGACAGGUGCUGCAUGGCUGUCGUCAGCUCGUGUUGUGAAAUGUUGGGUUAAGUCCCGCAACGAGCGCAACCCUUAUCCGUUUGUUGCCAGCGGUUCGGCCGGGAACUCAAAGGAGACUGCCAGUGAUAAACUGGAGGAAGGUGGGGAUGACGUCAAGUCAUCAUGGCCCCUUACGAGUAGGGCUACACACGUGCUACAAUGGCGUAUACAGAGGGAAGCAAUAUGGCGACAUGGAGCAAAUCUCACAAAGUACGUCUAAGUCCGGAUUGGAGUCUGCAACUCGACUCCAUGAAGUCGGAAUCGCUAGUAAUCGCAAAUCAAAUGUUGCGGUGAAUACGUUCCCGGGUCUUGUACACC